GAUGAAGAACGUAGCGAAAUGCGAUAAGUAAUGUGAAUUGCAGAAUUCAGUGAAUCAUCGAAUCUUUGAACGCAUCUUGCGCUCCUUGGUAUUCUGAGGAGCAUGCCUGUUUGCGUGUCAUUAAAUUCUCAACUACACUGACUUUGAAUUGGUGUGGCUUGGAUUUGGGGGGAAAAUUGUUGUGGGCUUUUUGUAUAGUCUGCUCCCCUGAAAUUGAUUAGCGGUACCUUUGUGGAACUGUCUACAGGUGUGAUAAUUAUCUACAUCUUAGACAUCUGCUGGAAUGCUGCUUUCUAAACCUUACUUGUAUUGACAAUCUUGACCUCAAAUCAGGUAGGACUACCCGCUGAACUUAAGCAUAUCAAUAAGCGGAGGA
rnacentral:misc_RNA from 1 species